UGAACGCUGGCGGAAUGCUUUACACAUGCAAGUCGAACGGCAGCACGGACUUCGGUCUGGUGGCGAGUGGCGAACGGGUGAGUAAUGUAUCGGAACGUGCCCAGUCGUGGGGGAUAACGUAGUGAAAAUUACGCUAAUACCGCAUACGAUCUAUGGAUGAAAGCGGGGGAUCGCAAGACCUCGCGCGAUUGGAGCGGCCGAUAUCAGAUUAGGUAGUUGGUGGGGUAAAGGCCCACCAAGCCAACGAUCUGUAGCUGGUCUGAGAGGACGACCAGCCACACUGGAACUGAGACACGGUCCAGACUCCUACGGGAGGCAGCAGUGGGGAAUUUUGGACAAUGGGCGCAAGCCUGAUCCAGCCAUUCCGCGUGCAGGAUGAAGGCCCUCGGGUUGUAAACUGCUUUUGUACAGAACGAAAAGGUUUCUACUAAUACUAGGAGCUCAUGACGGUACUGUAAGAAUAAGCACCGGCUAACUACGUGCCAGCAGCCGCGGUAAUACGUAGGGUGCAAGCGUUAAUCGGAAUUACUGGGCGUAAAGCGUGCGCAGGCGGUUAUAUAAGUCAGAUGUGAAAUCCCCGGGCUCAACCUGGGAACUGCAUUUGAGACUGUAUAGCUAGAGUACGGCAGAGGGGGAUGGAAUUCCGCGUGUAGCAGUGAAAUGCAUAGAUAUGCGGAGGAACACCGAUGGCGAAGGCAAUCCCCUGGGCCUGUACUGACGCUCAUGCACGAAAGCGUGGGGAGCAAACAGGAUUAGAUACCCUGGUAGUCCACGCCCUAAACGAUGUCAACUGGUUGUUGGGUCUUAACUGACUCAGUAACGAAGCUAACGCGUGAAG
rnacentral:rRNA from 1 species